rnacentral:rRNA from 1 species
UACAGAGGGUGCGAGCGUUAAUCGGAAUUACUGGGCGUAAAGCGCGCGUAGGCGGCUUUGCAAGUCGGGUGUGAAAUCCCCAGGCUUAACCUGGGAACUGCAUUCGAGACUGCAUUGCUAGAGUAUGGGAGAGGGAAGUGGAAUUUCAGGUGUAGCGGUGAAAUGCGUAGAUAUCAGGAGGAACACCGAUGGCGAAGGCAGGUCUCUGGGCCACUACUGACGCUGAGAAGCGAAAGCGUGGGGAGCGAACAGG